AGACGAGUGACACUGGGUGCUUCAAAGGAGCCCUCUUCCUCCCCUCGCAGCUUAGCAUCGUUUCCAGCACAAUAGACGGCAGUCCGGGGAGGUGACGUAAACCACAGCAUACCGCCCUCAGCUCAAGACGGCCCUGCAGAACCAGGUUC
rnacentral:lncRNA from 1 species